CACUACCGUUCAUUUUUGCUUUGGUUAACAUCUCUCCCAGACCAUCUGGAAUCCUGGUGUAAUCAUUGACACAUCUUUAUAUUUUGAAUUUUACAUCAGUGCAGUCUGUAAGUCCAUCUUCCUAAAGCUUCACAGAUAAAACUCAGUAAUGCCAUUUGUACUGUCUUCCAAAAAAAGGCAGACCAUGCUAUAAUCCUCCUCUCUGAGCUUCACUGGCUGCAUUAAUAAACAAGGUCCCCACCACAGCAUGCUAUCAUUGUACUCACAGCCUUACCCCAGCAUACUUAGCUACUGGUGCCUCACCAUUUAAGUUGGUCUGUUAGGUCUUCUUGUGUUGUCCUCCCAUCUGUGACAUGCUUCAGACGUAAGAAAUUCGGCAGGCACUCUUUUACAUCGCAGGCCCCACAGUUUUGCAUUCCCAAGCCCUUUUUCGUCAAACUGUAUCUACAUUCAAAGCCUUCGAAUCUGGCCUUACAAUUCAUCUAUUAAAACUAUUUUGCAUAAUUAAGCGAACUGUUCUGCUUACUCUUCUGUUCGUCAUCCAUGUACUUUUGCAUGUUUUUUCAUGGUGUCUUUUCUUUGCUGAUGCUUAUGUUUCUUGUUUGGUUGACUGUUCAUUUGUAGUCUUUUGUGCAUAGAGCAUUAAGCUUACAUCUACACAGGGAAAUGUGUUUUACAAAUUCAAUUAUCUCAAAAAUAGAUGGGGGCUGUUAACUUAAAUAUUCUCUUUUACAUGACAUUGUUGGUAUUUUUAUAAGUAAAAAUGAUUAUGAAGCUGUUGCCAACAGAUAAUAGAACCUGAAAAUGAAUCUUUCUUGUAUAUGAAGACUAGAUGGUCCUUGGAAGCUUACAGUGAUGCAUUGCAUAAACUGGUUUUUGUUUUGUUUACCUCCGAAAUUGCAUUCCAAGAUUUUGGUCAUAUUGUUUUUAUGUUUUAUGCUAGCAUCAUCAUUUUGAUCAUUCUUGCUUCUUCAGGCAAACUGAAAGACAGUUAAAAUGACAACUAUGGAAAGUUUAAUAUUCAUGAUCUACAGCUUAUUAAAAAUAACAGAGAAAUAAAGUCGCUUAUCUGUUGUCAGUCUCAAGUCUCAUUAUCAGCGAUGCCAGUUAUAUGUCGUUUCAUUUGUGUAGAAAAAGGGUGAAAUAGUUAGUCUGGAGAAUCUGCAGAGCAUUUUGUCAUCAAACCUCAUAAGCAAGAAACCUAUUCCUGGUGUGGAAUCAAACCUUGAAUGGCCUUCACAGGUGGCACACCUCACUGAUGAAAGGUUGUCAGCAGCUUUGGCACAAAACUCCUUUUUUCAUCUCAAAUGGGUGUCAAAACAUCCAUCUACAAGUCAACUUAUGAGAAAACUAUUCCCAAAGCCAAAAAUCUUUGGACCAGAUGUUGAAAUAUCUUUGAAAAAAUAUGUAUUCCUUGAGGGACCAAAAUCCAGAGUGAAUCCAUUAAAUGCCUUCUUUGAGAUGCCCUUCAGUUGGUAUGUGCAAGGAUGGGGAUCCAGGAAGGCUGUGCUGACCCCUCUUAAAAGGUGCCUUGAAACCUGCCAGAAACUUGAGGUCAUUUUGCACAAAGGAGAUGUGUUGACAUUCAACAAUAACUUCUAUGAAGUUGAAAUGCAUCCAGAAGGAGACGAUAUCAGCAUCAGUUUUCUGGGCUAUUUUUUGCCAAAAUAACAAGAAGAAUAGUCUUAUUGACCUUUUUAUCCUGGCAUUUGAAUUUUUCAUUGUUCUAAAAUGCAGACCUAAUUUAUUCUUCUUCAAAGCUAUAAUGAUUUUAUGAGCAUAAACAUUCAACUUCUAUCACAGUGAUUUAUCAGGAAGCAUAUAUUUUAAUGAUGUGUACUAAAGGUUUGCAGGAAAAGUAAACCAACAGUGCAUUGUAACAAAUGUCUUCUUAUACAUCAAGUUUCUGUUAUGCAGUUGAAGUGAUUUAGCAAAAAGAUCAUAAUUUUAGCAGGUAUGGCAUAAUUUAUAGUCAAACAAAAUGUAAUGGUCUUAAUGUAAAUGUCUACCAAUUGAAUGUUGUUUUUAUGAUCAAUUUUAUGUAUGUUUUUGAAAUUAAGCUGCUAUCAAUAUCUUGAUAUUGUACAUUAAGUGCCUGUUAGAAUUUUUUUAAACUUAGGAAUCCUACCCUAAAAGUUGGUUCAUCAUUAAAACAUUAUUGAACAUAA
rnacentral:lncRNA from 1 species